rnacentral:tRNA from 1 species
GGGCGUUUAGCUCAGCUGGAUAGAGCGUCGGUCUCCGAAGCCGAAGGUCACUGGUUCGAAUCCAGUAACGCCCA